GCUCACCUGAUGCAAGGAGCCAACAUACGAUCGUUGAGGCGCCUUACAGCGGGUUUGUGGAGACCAGCGAACGCUUGGGCGCACUCACGAUCAACUAAAUGAUUAGCCCCAAGAAGCAGCCAUAUUGCAGUGCGCCAAAGCGGCGGGAGUGCAUCAAGCCUGAAUGCUUCAAGACUCCUCGUGCCUCCAUGUUCUUUAGUUAGUUUGCAAAGCAUCAAAAAGACAAAAAAUAAAGAAAUGUUAUCAAGCAA